GGGCCCGCACAAGCGGUGGAGUAUGUGGUUUAAUUCGAUGCAACGCGAAGAACCUUACCAGGGCUUGACAUCCUGCGAAUCUCUGGGAAACCGGAGAGUGCCUUCGGGAACGCAGUGACAGGUGGUGCAUGGCUGUCGUCAGCUCGUGUCGUGAGAUGUUGGGUUAAGUCCCGCAACGAGCGCAACCCACGUCUUUAGUUGCCAGCAUUUAGUUGGGCACUCUAGAGAGACCGCCGGUGACAAACCGGAGGAAGUGUGGAUGACGUCAAGUCAUCAUGCCCCUUACGUCCUGGGGCUACACACGUACUACAAUGCUACGGACAAAGGAGCAGCUAACUCGCGAGAGUACGCAAAUCCCAUAAACCGUGGCUC
rnacentral:rRNA from 1 species